rnacentral:lncRNA from 1 species
GGCAUCUCGCUGUCUGCGCUGGGCACGGAGCGGCGCGCGCGCGCCCGUCUUUCCCUCGGCGGCCCCCGCGGCUCGGACCCGGGCCGGCAGACAGGCCAUCCAUCAUCCGCCCUCCUCCCGCGGAGCGCCGCAGCCGCCGCGGCCAAUCCGGCGGCAGGUGGGGCCGCACCUGCGCGACAGCCCGCCGCUUCCCUCCGCUCCCUUCGCCGCGCCUCGCGUGCUAGCGGUGCCCUUGUGAGCCACUGCGUUCUCCAAGGCCAGAACGGGACAGUUGACGAUGGUCGUACUUCUCCAUGUUCUGAGACCAGUUUAAACAAAAACAAAAACCAGACAACAACCUUGCAAGGGAAAGAAUUCAGAGUAAAUAAACAGUCUUUUUCUGGGAAGUAAAAUAUUUCCCUAAGAUGGAGAAAUUGAGAUGAGAGCUCAUCCACAAGAUUACCCAUCAAUGAGCACCAAUAGCAACCAAAUCCACUAGAAGACUGGGAGCUUUUAAGUCAAGAAACUUACAUCAGUAUCAUCAUUCCAAGAAGCGGUAUCCAAGCUGUUUUAUCGAAAGUGCGCAUGGGAGGGAUCUCAUCAGAGAGAGAGACAUCUUCGCCACUGCCAUGAAGUUUCAAGUACAGAACUCUUCCUCGUAAUCAAACUAUUUCUAUGAACAAUUCACUCAUCAUUGUGGGAAAGUCUAUUUUUCAUCUUAACACACAAACAGACAAUAACAAAAUUUGUGAUUUGGAUAAUCUGGAUCUGAUGUUCAUGCUCAAAAUGGAGGCAAUUCGUAAUACUGGUCUGAAGCAUUUAGUCAUUCACUGAGCAGAUACGUUAGGAGCAACAGGCAUGGGCUGUGUUUUUCUAGGCACUGUGAACACAGCAGUCAACGAAGUCAAAAACCUGUGCUCUUAAGGGACAUGAAUUGCCAAAUGGAAACACUAAGUUUUUCUAUUUAUGACCUAAAGCUAGUCAAAUAUCUCCAGAAGUAAGGUAGCUGAGUGAAGUGGUUCAUAAUCUUUCCAUGGGAGCCAAAUCCUCGGUGCUGUGACUCUUUUAGAUAAAUGAUAGUAAAAAUGAAUCAAAAGUUAAUUAGCUUGCACCUCAAUAAUCCAGUCUCCAUCACUGAUGGUCAUCGUGGAAUCUGCGUACAGAGGCAGCUGUAUACAGAUGACAGAGACAGCUCUAACACGUGACACAUUUAAGCACACAGAGGCGGAAGGACAUAAAGUUCCUGGUUGAUUUCCCUUUGGUGUUUGUGGGGAAAUAUCAAGGUCAUAAAAAGUCAGUUUCUAAUAAUCCCUCCAGUCCUCCAUUCCAUUCCCUAAUUUGUAUGCAAUGGCAUUUAACAUUUUGACUUUGCUUAAAAUAAAAUGUGUGUUUGUUUUAAAAAAAAAAAAAAAAAAAAAAAAAAAAAAAAAAAAAAAAAAAAAAAAAAAAAAAAAAAAAAAAAAAAA